UACGUAGGGGGCAAGCGUUGUCCGGAUUUAUUGGGCGUAAAGAGCUCGUAGGCGGCUUGGCAAGUCGGGUGUGAAAUCUCCGGGCUCAACUCGGAGGGGCCACUCGAUACUGCCAUGGCUAGAGUCCGGUAGGGGACCAUGGAAUUCCUGGUGUAGCAGUGAAAUGCGCAGAUAUCAGGAGGAACACCAGUGGCGAAGGCGGGGGUCUGGGCCGGUACUGACGCUGAGGAGCGAAAGCGUGGGGAGCGAACAGG
rnacentral:misc_RNA from 1 species